rnacentral:lncRNA from 1 species
CCUUGGUUCGCCCCCCCGUCCCUUGGUUCUAGUAAUAUCCAAUUCUUUGUUAACAGAAAAUCGUUUGUUUUUGGGGGGGGAUUCUGGGUUUUGCUCAUUUGGGGUUUUUCUCAAAGGAAAAAACCAAGUUUAAGGAUGAACAGUCUUGUGCUUGUGAAUAAACACUAGUUAUUCAGUGGGAACAAUUUAUUCUAAUGGUAAUUCAGUAAGGAAAGGUGGAAUGACAACCCAUAAAGCCUUUACAUGUUACCCUAAUAAAUACUGUUGGUUAAUUCACAGUGCUAUGUUUUCCAUUUCUGGAUGAUUGGUUUGCAAUGAAUAACAAUGGAUGUAAUAUGAUUUCUGCAUGAAGAACAAACAAGGCAGAAACAUAAUACUAAAGAUUGUUACACUUUUCAUUACGUCGCAAGAGAGACUCAACCCUACGACAACAUGAAAUGGUUCUGCUGUUAUGAGACUCAACCAGAGAUAUGUUUAUAUAUAUAUAUAUACACUAGAUGACUACCAGGGGGUGCUGUUAUGAGACUCAACCAGAGAUGUUUAUAUAUAUAUAUACACUAGAUGACUACCAAGGGGGUGCUGUUAUGAGACUCAACCAGAGAUGUUUAUAUAUAUAUAUAUACUAGAUGACUACCAGGGGGUGCUGUUAUGAGACUCAACCAGAGAUGUUUAUAUAUAUAUAUAUAUACACUAGAUGACUACCAAGGGGGUGCUGUUAUGAGACUCAACCAGAGAUGUUUAUAUAUAUAUAUACACUAGAUGACUACCAGGGGGUGCUGUUAUGAGACUCAACCAGAGAUGUUUAUAUAUAUAUAUAUAUACACUAGAUGACUACCAGGGGGUGCUGUUAUGAGACUCAACCAGAGAUGUUUAUAUAUAUAUAUAUAUACACUAGAUGACUACCAGGGGGUGCUGUUAUGAGACUCAACCAGAGAUGUUUAUAUAUAUAUAUACACUAGAUGACUACCAGGGGGUGCUGUUAUGAGACUCAACCAGAGAUGUUUAUAUAUAUAUAUAUAUAUACACUAGAUGACUACCAGGGGGUGCUGUUAUGAGACUCAACCAGAGAUGUUUAUAUAUAUAUAUACACUAGAUGACUACCAGGGGGUGCUGUUAUGAGACUCAACCAGAGAUGUUUAUAUAUAUAUAUAUAUACACUAGAUGACUACCAGGGGGUGCUGUUAUGAGACUCAACCAGAGAUAUGUUUAUAUAUAUAUAUAUAUAUAUACACUAGAUGACUACCAGGGGGUGCUGUUAUGAGACUCAACCAGAGAUGUUUAUAUAUAUACUAGAUGACUACCAGGGGGGCUGUUUUGAG